CUACGGGCUGCACCAGGGGGGAAUAUUGGACAAUGGGGGAAACCCUGUUCCAGCAAUGCCGCGUGUGUGAAGAAGGCCUGCGGGUUGUAAAGCACUUUCGGUUGGGAGGACUGCUUCUAGCACUAAUAUUGUUGGAAGUUGACGUUACCUUCAGAAGAAGCACCGGCUAACUCCGUGCCAGCAGCCGCGGGAAUACGGAGGGUGCAAGCGUUAAUCGGAAUUACUGGGCGUAAAGCGCGCGUAGGCGGCUAGAUCAGUCGGGUGUGAAAGCCCCGGGCUUAACCUGGGAACUGCAUCCGAUACUGACUAGUUUGAGGACAGGUGAGGAGAGUGGAAUUCCACAUGUAGCGGUGAAAUGCGUAGAUAUGUGGAGGAACACCAAUGGCGAAGGCAGCUCUCUGGCCUGAUACUGACGCUGAGGUGCGAAAGCGUGGUGAGCAAACAGGAUUAGAUACCCUUGUAGUC
rnacentral:rRNA from 1 species